GUAGGAGACAGGAGGUAGGAGCUGGAGGUAGGAGCUGGAGCUGGAGGUAGCAGAUGGAAGUAGCAGAUGGAGUAUGGAGGUAGCAGAUGGAGGUAGCAGAUGGAGUAGGAGCUGGAUGUAGGAGCUGGAGGUAGGAGCUGGAUGUAGGAGCUGGAGGUAGGAGCUGGAGGUAAGAGCUGGAGGUAGGAGCUGGAAGUAGGAGCUGGAGGUAGCAGAUGGAGGUGGGAGCUGUAGGUAGCAGAUGGAGGUGGGAGCUGUAGGUAGCAGAUGGAGGUGGGAGCUGGAGGUAGCAGAUGGAGGUGGGAGCUGGAGGUAGCAGAUGGAGAUGGGAGCUGGAGGUAGCAGAUGGAGGUGGGAGCUGGAGGUAGCAGAUGGAGGUGGGAGCUGUAGGCACAGCUAGUGUUGCAUCCUCCAGAAGUGCCUGGUAUGGACAGAGGCUCACGGAGUGUUCUGCUCUUACUCUACCUCUGAAACGUUAGGAAGGAAAAAGCGCCACUCUCAUUUCACAUUAAAAACCUGAUGUGGUCAAUGACCUUCAUCACAAUGACCUGCC
ensembl:lncRNA